GCCGGGCAUGGUGGCACAUGCCUGUGGUCCCAGCUACUUGGGAGGCUGAGGCAGGGGAAUCGCUUGAACCCAGGAGGUGGAGGUUGCAGUGAGCCGAGAUUGCACCACUGCACUCCAGCCUGGGUGACAGAGUGAUACUCUGUCUCAA
rfam:Pan troglodytes isolate Yerkes chimp pedigree #C0471 (Clint) chromosome 13, whole genome shotgun sequence.